GUCUGAGGCCAUGCCACCCUGAACACACCCGAUCUCGUGUGAUCUCGGAAGUUAAGCAGGAUCCGGCCUGGUUAGUACUUGGAUGAGAGACCACCUAGGAAGACCAGGUGCUAUAGGCU
rnacentral:rRNA from 1 species